GCUGUGGUGGUGUAAUGGUUCGGCACUCAGCUGCUAACUGAAAGGUUGGUGGUUAGAACCCAUCCAGCAGCU
rnacentral:tRNA from 1 species